UACGGGGGGGGCAAGGCGUUGUUCGGAAUUACUGGGCGUAAAGGGUUUGUAGGUGGCUCGCUAAGUCAGACGUGAAAUCCCUCAGCUUAACUGGGGAACUGCGUCUGAAACUGAUGAGCUCGAGUGCAGGAGAGGAACGCGGAAUUCCAGGUGUAGCGGUGAAAUGCGUAGAUAUCUGGAGGAACACCGGUGGCGAAGGCGGCAUCCUGGACCGACACUGACGCUGAGGAGCGAAAGCCAGGGGAGCAAACGGG
rnacentral:rRNA from 1 species